CGACAGGCGAUUCCAGCCGAAACACGACUUGCGUUGACGAUUAGGUUUCUGGCCAGCGGCGACAACCAAAGAAGUAUGUCCUAUGGCUUUAGGGUCGGCAGGUCGACCGUAUGCACUAUUGUUUCAACCACUUGUCUUGCACUAUGGAACAGACUGCACCCAAUAUAUGCCAGAUUGCCAUCUACCCCUGAAGAAUGGAGGAGAAUUGCACAAGACUUCAAUGUUCUUUGGCACUUCCCUAAUUGUGUUGGGGCAAUAGAUGGUAAACAUGUGGUGAUAGAAUGCCCCGACAACUCUGGCUCCACCAACCACAACUAUAAGGGCUCCUUCAGCGUGGUGCUAAUGGCAAUCUGCGAUGCUCAAUAUCGCUUCAUCAUGGUUGACAUUGGGAAACCAGGAAGCGAAAGUGAUGGCGGCAUUUUCUCAAGAAGUGUGUUGGGCAGUCGCUUUGAGCGGCGCGAGCUGAACCUUCCACAGCCGUGCCCCUUGGAGCAUGGUGGACCGGAGGUACCGUUUGUUAUUGUAGGAGACGAGGCGUUCCCCCUCAAGACCUAUUUGAUGCGGCCAUAUCCAAGGGUGGAAGGGCUGCAACAUGCAGAAAAAGUGUUCAACUACAGGCUCAGCAGGGCAAGAAGAGUUGUUGAAAAUGCAUUCGGCAUUCUUGCAAAUAGGUGGAGGAUU